GCCCUGCUAGCUCAGUCGGUAGAGCAUGAGACCCUUAAUCUCAGGGUCGUGGGUUGAGGUCCCAUGUUGAGUG
rnacentral:tRNA from 1 species